CUGUGUACGAGAAUGUAAAGGUGUUUUGCAAAGGUUUAAUAAUAAUUAACAUGAUAAACGGUGAUCUAUAAUAAUCAGUAUACAUCUUUAAAUAAAUUUAUAUUGUACAACUAUCUGACGUAGUAUUGAUAAUAAUUAUUGCAUGCUUACCUCGGCUGCAGACUGUCUUAACUACCACUGGACUACAGCUAAUGAUAAUGUUAAACUUAAUUACUUGCCACAUGGAUGUAACGAAGUUGACUUUGACUCAACUGAUAGAAUUCUAUUCUUAGCAGUACAAAAUUUUAUAAUUAAUUCCAAUAGUCCAGUGUUAGCCUUCCAUACACUUUUUCAUUUUUUUCUCUCUUUUUCCUCAACUUGUUUAUUACUAACUUUUCAUCCUUUAUGAAAUUUUAAAUUGACAUAAUAUAUUUACCGCCUAUACUUGAUGCUAAAUUCUUGUGAAUAGAACAAGAGCCCCUUGACGAGCUGAAAGCUC